rnacentral:lncRNA from 1 species
AAUAGCAGGUUACCAUAUUUUACUUUCUGCUAUUCCACCCAAAGGUCAUUUCUUUUUUCUCAGUCUUGAAGCCUUGGCCUCCUCCUCUCUCCUGCUCGCCGGAUGGUAGUCGUCAUCGCCCCUUCCAGGUAAUGUCCUUCCCCUUUCCUUAAUGCUUCUGUUGCAACCGCAUGAGCAUAGAAGUUUUCUGUUCUAGAGAUAAAACAAAAACUGAUACUGUUAAACUUGGUUUUAAUCUCUUGAAUAUCAUUGAUAAUUGCUCCGAUGACUGAUCUGUCUUGUUCUGAACUUUGACACUUCCUGAUGAUCGUUUUUGAGUCACCUAAUAUUUGUAAAUCUGUGAACCCCAUAGACCUCCCUAACUCUAAGGCUUUUAACCCUGCAUGUGCCUCCGCUGCAAAUGGAGUUGCUCUGUUGUUAUGAAUAACUGAUUUUGUGGCCAAAAUCUCCCCUCCCUCGCCUUGAACAACCAAUCCCGAAGCAGAUCUUGCAUGUUGCUGGUCAAAGGCCGCAUCAAAAUAGACUGAUCUACUCAUUCUGCUCACAUCGGUUUUUAAAUCGCCAUUACCUUCCAAGAUAAGUUUCUUCUCAUCCAUUCCUCUUAGUUCGAGAAUAAAGUCUGAAAUUUUAUAAGAGAUAUCUUAACUGGUUGAUUGUUUAUUUUCAUAAACUAAUCUAUUCCUGCUUGUCCAGAUGAACCAAAGCCCACAACAAAAAAGACGACACUGUUCAUUAGAUCCACGACAGAAAACCCAAGUAAGCCAGUCCCAAAAAGUAUUUGCAGUACUAUUAAAGAUUCAUGGUAACUGUAUGAGUCUCCACACUUCUUUUGUUGUAGGACAUUUGCGAAAAAGAUGGUUGCAAUCCUCCUCUUCCUGGUUGCAACGGGGACAUCGAGCAUUUUCAACUGUUCUCUUAAUCUUUAGAUUCGCAAAAUUAGGGAUAUAAUUCCAAGAAAUACCCCAUACUGUAAUUUUAAUUUUCGGGGGGAUUUGUAAGCUCCAUAAUUUUUUGUAAAAAGCUUUAGUCUCGGUUUAUAAAAUAAUAGGAUUUUGAAUACCCUCUUGUAAUAGUUUAUAGGCGCUUCGAACCGAAAAAUUACCAGAAGGCUCUCCUCUCCAGACUUGGAAAUCUUCACUUGCUGACAUUGCCAAAGGGAUCUGCAAAAUCUUCUUAGCAACUUCCGCAUUGAAGGUAUUGAAAAUUACUUCUUCUUUCCACUUUCUGUUUACUGUAUCAAUCAGUUCUGAAACUAAUGUAAAAUUUCCAACUCUCUGAUGAUUAUGUAAUCUAUCUUCUUCACUGCCGGAAAUCCAGAGGUCCUCCCAAAUUGAAAUACGAUCCCCUUUGCCAAUCCUCCAACACAGACCUUUUUCCAGAAUUCCUUUUGCCGACCAGAUACUCUUCCAGGUAAGCGAAGGUAAGUUACCUAAUGGAGCAUUUAGAAAACUCGCGUUCGGAUAGUACUUAGCUUUUAACACUCGGGCUAAUAAUGAAUCUGGAAAAUUAAUAAGGCGCCAGCCCUGUUUAGCUAAUAACGCAAUAUUAAAUUUAUCAAGUUUUCUAAAACCAAGACCCCCUACUUCUUUCAUAUCACACACCUCCUUCCAUGUACACCAAUGAAUGCCCUUCCUUCCCCGAUUUUCCCCCACCAGAAUCUUGCUAUUAUUCCUUCCAAAUCGUUACAAAGAGAUUUAGGAAGUAAGAAGCAUGCCAUAGAAUAGGUUGGAAUUGAUUGUAAAACUGCCUUGAUAAAAACCUCUUUACCUCCCUGGGACAGAUACUUGACACUCCAAUUGUCUAUUCUUUGUUUUAAUCUAUCCUUCAAAUUUUGAAAAGCUGCUUUCCUUCCUAUCCCCACUAAAUUUGGAAGUCCUAAGUAUCUUUCUGGAUUAUUCGAGCUUUGCACCCCAAGCAUCCGAACAAUUACCCUUCUUGCAUCCUCCUGCGUAUUUGCACUGAAAAAAAAUUGAAGAUUUGUUAAAAUUAACACGUUGACCCGAGCUUUGCUCAUACUCCUUUAAGAUAUUCUUCAAUGUAGCAGCUCCUCUUUCUGUAGCUUCUCCAAACAUAAUGCAGUCGUCAGCAAAUAACAAAUGAGAAAUCUGCGGGCCAUUUCUGCUCACCUUCACUCCUCGAAAUGAGUAGCCCUCCAUUUCUUGUCUUAGGAGACUAGAAAGUCCUUCUCCACAAAACAAAAAUAAAAAUGGGCUCAAAAGGUCUCCUUGUCUAAGGCCUCUAGAUGGACAAAAUCUUUCUCCAAUAAUCCCAUUAAGAAUCACUGAGUAAGAUACUGUUGAAACACAUUUCAUCACCAUGUCGACCCACUCCGAAUCGAAGCCCAAUUUCUUCAUUACUUUUUCAACAAAAUCCCAUUCCACCCUGUCAUAUGCCUUAACACAUAUCUAAUUUUACUGCCAUAAACCCUUUUUUCCCCAACCUUUUAUUCUUCAAAGAGUGAAGAAUUUCAUAGGCUAAAAGAAUAUUAUCACCAAUAAGCCUCCCAGGGACAAAAGCAUUUUAAGCUGAAUCAAUAUAUCUAUUCAUCACCAACUGGAGACGAUUCGCAAUAACCUUUGCUACCAAUUUAUAAAGCACAUUGCAUAAACUAAUUGGUCGAAAGUUGGUAAUAUUCAAAGGCUUUGGAAUUUUGGGAAUUAAAAUUAUAUUCGUUUUGUUAAUUGUACUGAUAUCCAUACCUCCAGUCAGUAGUGUAAGACAAAAUGAUGUAACUUCAUCUCCAAUGAUUGACCAGCACUUUUGGUAAAAAAGAGCCGGAAGUCCAUCCUCCCCUGGAGCUUUUGUAGGGCCAAAUUCAACCAAUGCCGCACGUAUCUCUUCUCUUGUGUACCUUGCCUUCAAUUUCAGAUUAUCCUCCUCAAAGAUGCACUGCUUAAUUCCUGCCAAACUUUUAUCAUUAUUCCCCCUUCUCCCUUUCGAAAACAACUUAUGGAAAUACAUUCUGGUGAGAUCCUCCAUUUCUGAAAAAUCUUCUGUUUCCUCUCCAUCUUCUGAUUACAAUCUGUUAAUAAAAUUUCUUUGUCGUUUUUGAGUUGCCUGUUUAUGGAAAAAUGCUGUAUUCUUGUCCCCAAAUUUCAGCCAAUUAACCCUCGCCCUUUGCUCCCAAUAACGCUCGUCUUUCUCAAUCUCAAAAUUAAGCUGGAUUUUUGUGUCAAUGAGCUCCAGUAGGGUGUCAUCGUUUCUAUCUUUCUCCUCUAGAUUCUCCAGUUUUAAGGUUAACGCCCGUUUCUUUCUUUUCCUACUGUCAUGUAUUUUAUCAGCCCACUUUUGAAGUCUCCUUUUCAAACUUUCCAAUUUGCUCAACAAAUCACCUUUAGCAGUAUUCCAAAUGCUUGCAACUUCAGAGUAAAAAUUUUCCUCCAGAACCCACCAUGCUUCAAAUUUGAAUACUCUCUCAGUUCUUCUAUUCUCUUCUCGCUUAGUAGUAAUGAACAAUGGACAAUGAUCUGAAAAAGAGUAAGACAUAUGUCUUAUUUGAAAAUCUGGGAAUGUUGAAAUCCACUCUUCCGUAGCCACCCCCUAUCUAAUCGUUCUCGAAUAUUUGUUUCAGACAGGUUUCCUCUUUCCCAUGUGAACCAUUUACCAGCAAAACCCAAAUCCCUAAGAUUGCAAUCAUCUAAUACCGUUCUGAAUGCCUCAAUUCUCCUUUCCUCUCGAGGUAGCCCCCCCUUUUUUCAAAUCCAUACAAAAUUUCAUUAAAAUCCCCACAAACCAUCCAAGGUAAAUCCCCUGCACUACGUAACUGUCUCAGCAAAUUCCAAGAUUCUUCCUUAUUCGAGUAGGGAGAACCGUAAAAACCAGUAAGUCUACAAUUCAUACCCCAUUCAGUAUCCUCAAUUUGCACAUCAAUAUGGCUUUUUGAAUAACUUUGAAGUCUAAUACUAAGAUCCUCACGCCAAGCCAAGCACAAUCCGCCUCGAGAACCUGUCGCAUCCACUUCAAUUCCAUUAAGGAAGCCACACCUUCUUCUAAUUCGUUCCAUCCUCCUUCUAUCAACCUUUAUCUCCAUAAAGAAGACUAAAUGGGGAUUGUAUAACCUCAGCCAGUGCUGAAGUCAAUGAACUGUCCGUGGGUUCCCCAAACCCCGGACGUUCCAGCUUAAGAUUUUCAUUGUAGUCAGUCGGCUUGCCUCCUGGCAGCCGCCGAUAUAACAAUAUUCCCAUCUCCUACUCUUCUAUUCCGUAGAACCAGAGGGUUACUCUCCUCAUUAGCAAAAUCGUCUUCACUCUCCCCCCUUGCUCUCUUCUUUCCUUCUUCCGCAAUUAACACCCUGUCCUGCAUAUCAUGAUCCAUCAUAAGAGUAUCACCAUAUUUGCAAAUCGACGAUUGUCCUCCCAGAUUAAAUCCGAGAAUUGGAUCUAUAUUUUUGUUCUGUCCUAGAAUUCUCCCUGGAUAUCUUGUACUAUGCCCUAAUACCGGAGUCUUCCCUUUAUUACCUCUCCAUUCUUCUUCUUCUUCCCGUUGCCAAACACUAUUCAUUGCUAAAGCUCUUCUAGAUUGAGCUCUUAACGAUAAAUCCCACCCCAUCUCCUCAACGUCCGUACCUAAAGCCAUCUUCGCUUCGCAAAACGAAUCACUAUGCCCCAGUCGUCCACAAUAAAAACAGAAGAGAGAUAAUCGUUCAUAUUUGAAUCAAACAUAUAAACUUGUGCCAAAAAAUAAGAUCUGUUUCUUUCGUUUCAGAGGCAAUCGUACAUCAAUUAGGACUCUGAUUCUCAUAAAAUUUUGAUUUUCUUUACCCAAAUUUGACCCAUCAUACUCCAUGAAAGAGCCUAUAAAAUUCCCCAACUGAGUUGCCAACCUUUCUGAGAAAAAUCCUGCAGGAAUGUCAUGAAUCUGAAUCCAAAAAGGAAUGUAUAUUAAAGGAACAAUUACUGGGUCCUCCAUCAAUUGCAGCUUAUGUAGAAGCAGUAGAUGAUUAUUAAAAGUCCAUGGGGACCCCUUCAACACCCUCUCCAUAUCCAUAGCGUGAAAAAACUGAAACAAGUAUCUUUUCCCCCUAGAUCUCGAAUAUUAACCCCUCGGACUGGAUGCCAAAGAUUGGCCAUUGUGCUCUUCAUUGCUGGAAAACUAAUAAUACUGGCAGUUAGAAAACACCCAACUAAUUUAAAAAUCUUUACCUCUGUUUCUGCUUGUGUCUCAAAUUGAAACUGUAAGAUUUGUUCUUCCUCCUCAGUAAUUGUCAGACCAGCAAAUUCUGUCUCCCUGGUUGCAGAAGAAUGCGAUCCAAGAACUUCGUUUUGUAGACGCCAAAAUAAAUCAAAAGAAAAACCUGACUGCCGCCGCUAAAUCAAAGAAACUUAACACCACAAAACCUAAAACCUACCAGAGAGGCAGACAGAGACGUGCCAAAUAGGCAGACUUUUUAUUAACCGUAGUUCCUAAUUUGCAAUUCUUUUUAUUUUUAGUGCUUUAAAUAAGAACUUUUGAAAGUCAAGUGACCAAUUAUAUAGUUUACCCUUGUUUGAAAAAUGGUAAAAUAGUGAAUAUCUAUAUCAACAUCGUUUAAAUUAAACUUUCAAGAAAUGUUUUAAAAACGUGUGAAAAAAAUUGAAUCUGUUUAAAACAAAUGUUUUAAACUAAAACUCUUUAAAAUUUUAAAUACAUUUUUAUAAAUUAAAAAAAAUGCUAAAAUCAUAUAUAUAUACACACAUAUAUAUAAGUGGUUUAAAAUUGUUUAAACAAUUAAACCUGUUUCAAUUGAAAAUGUAAAAGCUUUAAUUAAAUUUUUAAAAAAAUUUAAAGGGUUAUUUUUUUAUAAAAAAGUAAAACUAUUAAAAUAAGUUAUUUUAAAUUUUUCAAUAUUUUAAAAUACGUUUAGUUAAAUGUUUAAAAAAUUAAAUUAAAAUAAAUUUAUGAGGGUCCUUUAUAUUCCCUAAAAAAGUUUUUUUACAUUAAAUUUUUUAAAAUAAUUCUAAUAAACUAUUUUAAAAAAUAAGUCUAAAU